rnacentral:lncRNA from 1 species
AAGCUAUAAUCCAACCAACGGGACGCCAACAGUUUAUCAAACACCAAAAUUAAAUACCAAUAUUCUAAUAUCCCCAUCAAUUGAACAACAAUUAUCAAUUCUAAAUAAGCUUGUAAUUCGAUCAAACUUUCUAUCAAAACAAAAUUACACAAAAUUAAAUACAAAAAACAAAAACACAAACUGCACCGAUCUGAAUAAGAAAUGCAUACAGAACUGGAAAAAACUGAAGG